UACGUAGGUGGCAAGCGUUGUCCGGAAUUAUUGGGCGUAAAGCGCGCGCAGGUGGUUCCUUAAGUCUGAUGUGAAAGCCCACGGCUCAACCGUGGAGGGUCAUUGGAAACUGGGGAACUUGAGUGCAGAAGAGGAAAGUGGGAUUCCAAGUGUAGCGGUGAAAUGCGUAGAGAUUUGGAGGAACACCAGUGGCGAAGGCGGCUCGCUGGACCGCAACUGACGCUGAGGAACGAAAGCUAGGGGAGCAAACAGG
rnacentral:rRNA from 1 species